rnacentral:rRNA from 1 species
ACGAACGCUGGCGGCGUGCCUAAUACAUGCAAGUAGAACGCACAGUUUAUACCGUAGCUUGCUACACCAUAAACUGUGAGUUGCGAACGGGUGAGUAACGCGUAGGUAACCUGCCUGGUAGCGGGGGAUAACUAUUGGAAACGAUAGCUAAUACCGCAUAAUAUUGAUUAUUGCAUGAUAAUUGAUUGAAAGAUGCUAUUGCAUCACUACCAGAUGGACCUGCGUUGUAUUAGCUAGUAGGUGAGGUAACGGCUCACCUAGGCGACGAUACAUAGCCGACCUGAGAGGGUGAGCGGCCACACUGGGACUGAGACACGGCCCAGACUCCUACGGGAGGCAGCAGUAGGGAAUCUUCGGCAAUGGACGAAAGUCUGACCGAGCAACGCCGCGGGAGUGAAGAAGGUUUUCGGAUCGUAAAGCUCUGUUGUAAGAGAAGAACGGGUGUGAGAGUGGAAAGUUCACACUGUGACGGUAUCUUACCAGAAAGGGACGGCUAACUACGUG